GUACCUGCCGUCAGAUGCCGAUCAGACUCCGAUGGCGAAGCACUACCCGCUAUCGGAUGGGCACCGACCGGCAGCGGUCCUGGAGGGGGAUCCUUCCUGCAAAUGCGGGGCGCAACUCGGGAGCGGCGCGGGGGUGUGGAGGAUGAAAGAUGCAGCCCUUACAGGACAUGCAGAUUCGCGAUGACCCUAAGAAGGGUCUACACG
rnacentral:SRP_RNA from 1 species